AAGACCUUGCGCUUUUGGAGCGGCCGAUGUCUGAUUAGCUAGUUGGUGGGGUAAUGGCCUACCAAAGCUUCGAUCAGUAGCUGGUCUGAGAGGACGGCCAGCCACACUGGGACUGAGACACGGCCCAGACUCCUACGGGAGGCAGCAGUGGGGAAUUUUGGACAAUGGGCGCAAGCCUGAUCCAGCCAUGCCGCGUGAGUGAAGAAGGCCUUCGGGUUGUAAAGCUCUUUCAGCCGGGAAGAAAAGGCUGSGACUAAUAAUYGCAGUUCAUGACGGUACCGGAAGAAGAAGCACCGGCUAACUACGUGCCAGCAGCCGCGGUAAUACGUAGGGUGCGAGCGUUAAUCGGAAUUACUGGGCGUAAAGGGUGCGCAGGCGGUUUUGUAAGUCAGAUGUGAAAUCCCCGGGCUUAACCUGGGAACU
rnacentral:rRNA from 1 species